AGAGGCAGAGGUGAAGAUAACCAGAUUACGAAUUAUGGUGAUGUUGGUUUUAUGACACACACACAUUUGGGGAGGUCGACCAGGGCGAUUAUUAACGUACUUGUUCGACAACUCAUUUAACACGGAAUCAUGGGAUACGAACGAUUUACAGCGGCAAGAAAAAAUCAUUCCUACUUGGAGGGAUUCCCCACUACUGUUAUUCAUUUAUUAAUAGAUAAAAGGUGAAGAGGGUCCAUGACAGAAAGGCUGUGUAAGAGCUUCCUGCUCAGUAAAGAGCUACUCCGGCCCUAUCUCUCUCUCUCUCACACACACACACACACACACACACACACACACACACACACACACACACACACACACAUACACACACACGCACACACACACGCACACACUCUCUACUGUCUCUCUCUGACUUCCAGCUUUGCUUUCCUUUGUUUUCUGGAGACCCAGGUUGACACCUUGGCCCUUGACCCCCGCCCUGAUCCUCCUCAACCCAGCGCACCCAAUACCUCUCAGCUGGAAACACCCCGCCAGCCACUGCUGGCUCUAUCAACAUAUUAUGUGUAUUCGUCUCAGAACAAUAGCUGAGAUUUGAGAGAGUCGUAAAAAGGGGAAAUAUUAUGUCACAAUGAAAGGGAUAAUUAAGAAUCUGUGUCUCCAGGAGUCUGAUGUUACAUAUCAUUUAUAGAGGCUUAAAUAAACAGAGAGGUCAGAGGUA